AGAACGAACGCUGGCGGCAUGCCUAAUACAUGCAAGUCGAACGAACACUUCGGUGUUAGUGGCGCACGGGUGCGUAACGCGUGGGAAUCUGCCCUUGGGUUCGGAAUAACAGUUGGAAACGACUGCUAAUACCGGAUGAUGACGAAAGUCCAAAGAUUUAUCGCCCAGGGAUGAGCCCGCGUAGGAUUAGCUAGUUGGUGAGGUAAAGGCUCACCAAGGCGACGAUCCUUAGCUGGUCUGAGAGGAUGAUCAGCCACACUGGGACUGAGACACGGCCCAGACUCCUACGGGGAGCAGCAGUAGGAAUAUUGGACAAUGGGGACGAAAAGCCGUGAUCCAGACAAUGCCGCGUGAGGUGAUGAAGG
rnacentral:rRNA from 1 species